rnacentral:tRNA from 1 species
GGAGAGGUGUCUGAGUGGUUGAAAGAACACGACUGGAAAUCGUGUAGUUGCCGAAAGGCGGCUCCAGGGUUCGAAUCCCUGCCUCUCCGCCA